UACGUAGGGUGCGAGCGUUAAUCGGAAUUACUGGGCGUAAAGCGUGCGCAGGCGGCUUCGCAAGUCAGACGUGAAAGCCCCGGGCUUAACCUGGGAAUGGCGUUUGAAACUACGGAGCUGGAGUAUGGCAGAGGGGGGUGGAAUUCCACGUGUAGCGGUGAAAUGCGCAGAUAUCAGGAGGAACACCGGUGGCGAAGGCAGCCCCCUGGGCUAACACUGACGCUCAUGCACGAAAGCGUGGGGAGCAAACAGG
rnacentral:rRNA from 1 species